GUGAUGUCUCGUCUCAGCUAUGCUCGAUAUGCGAUCGAGCGAUGAGCAAUCCGGUGAGAUUCCGGAGCGGUCCCGCCACUGUGAGACACCCCCAUGCGGUGCAGCCAGACGCUCUGCCCGAUUCCUGCCGAACAGACCGUCAGGCGAGGGUACCUGAGGAGAACCACAU
rnacentral:ncRNA from 1 species